AUCCCUGAGGGAACUGGUGGACAAAGGCAGUGGUGAUCAGUAUUUUGCAUCUGGUGGCUGCUUCUGCCUGUGCCCUGGCCCCUGGUCUUGGAUGUGGAGAUACAUCGUGUCCUGGUUUGCAGUGUUCACACCUCGCAUGAGAUUUGCACGAAGUUAGACGACUCCUUCUUAGUCUCCUGUCCCCUGCCUCCUUGGCAAAGAUGAGGGGAGACUUAGCUCAUGUUGGUGCCCAUCCUUGUAUACUUAGGCUACAUGCCAAACAACUAAGACUGUCCCUGUCUGUCCCCUUUCUAAUAGCAUGGCAGCCUUGACAGGAACGGAGACAGAUCAUGGAACUUGGCUGAGUUUGCCUAGCAGCUGCCCCAGACAGACCUCAAAGCAUGUGAACAGCAAAACCGGAGGCAAUGACAGCUAGAGAUCUGAGUUCAAGACCAUGAGUGGAUACUCAGUAGAUGUGAGACCCCAGACUGCCUCCUCAUCACUUAAAAUAGGAAUGAUCCGAGAGUCAUACAUGUGUCUUGAGGUGGAUAUGAGCAUCAUAACAGGGAGGAAGAUGUAUGGCACAUUGUCUUGUAGAUGAUUCAUGGUGGCUGUUAGCAAAGAGAGGAAAGGAGAAAGGGAAACGUUCCAGACUUCCACUUUUGCAAGUUCUGAAAAUGGAACUUAAUGAGACAGAGGGGCUCUGGAGUUUGGGUUCUGGUUCCACAUCUGCAUAUCCAUUUUGCUGGUUCCCUGAUGAUGAGGAUUCUCUUUCUUUUUCCCCCCUUGGUCAGAGUCUCAGGGAGCGCCUAUUCUAGUGCCUAACACAGAUCCCAGAUCCAUUUUCAGAGAUGGUGGCUUGUGCUUCAGGUGAGUCUUCCCACAGUCUCCUGCUGUGCUCUAGUCUCAGCUGACUCCCUGCCCCAGCCCCAGUUUUCCAAUCUUCCUUGGUACCUAUCACAUGGGAGGCCUUUGUCAGGUCUCUCCUGUACCUAUAACACUGUCCAUUAAAAGUCACUUCUAGGAUUGUCACUUUCCCAGAGCACCCUGAACAGGUCACUGCACUCUUCUGGGGUCCUAUCCUCCUUUGUAAGGAAUGUGGUAAGGGAAGUAUUUAUCUCUUACUGUAUACAGGGACAGCAGGACUGUCAUUUUAUUCCUUACAAUAGGUCCCUUCUCUGUUCCUGCGAGUAAUCACUUUUCAUUCCAUUUCUCACCCUGCUUCUCCCUCAAGUCAAGUCUGGCUUUAGGAAAAGCAUCUCUACUCUCCCAAGCUCACAUUUUCUUACUGCCACCAAAGUCAAGCCUGCCAUCCUCUGCCCUACCUGUUCAGAUCUAUGCUUUAUUAAAUAUGAGAGAAGCUAUACAGAUCUCUAAUCUGCACACAGUCCUGCUAGUGCAUACCUGAUGGGUAACCUGUUGGGGCCACAACUUGGAGCUCUGUUGGGUGUUUGCCUUCCAUUUGACUUUUGGGUGUGCACAUGUAUGUGUGCAUGCAUUUGUGUAUGUUUAGGAGUCUAUGUGUGUGAAGGUCAGAAGAUAGCCUUGGAUGUCCUUUCUCAGGCACUGUCUACCUUAAAAAAUGGUUGUGAGAAAGGAUUUCUCACUAGCCUUGGGCUUACCAAGAGGGUAGCCGAGUGACUAGCAAGUCCUAGGGAUAUGACUAUAAUCUCUGCUGGGAUUACAAGUGCAUGCCACCAUUACUGGCUUUUUAAAAAUAUGGGUUUGGGGUUUGAACUCAAGUACUUUACCAAGUGAGCUAUUACUCUAGCCAGACUUGAAAUACAAUACCCCACCCCCAUGCAUUUAGAUACUAUCUAAAGGGCUGCUGGUAAUUAAACAUAGCUGCUUAUUUAGAGUUUUCACCAGUGUAGUACAUACUUCACAGUACAAGCCACCACUUCUUUCUCCUAUGUUUGUUGUAUUUUCUUUCUAAUCAUAUUCCUGGUAUUGAACCAACCAUCCUUAGUAAAGUUGCAGACAUUCCAACUAUUUCUGCUGCAAGUUGUAGUUUCUUCAGAUGCCUCCCCAGGUCAGAGGAGAGCUUUUUUCUAAGGGUUGUUUCCAUGACGAGGCAUUUGCCAUCUGAGGGGCCACCACCAUCUUGUUUGGCCAUCACACAUUCAUUCUUGUCCUCCUUCCUUCAUGGAUUUGUUGUUCACCCCUGGUUUCUAUCAGAUGCAUCCUCCUGCUAUUGGUUGGAUGAUGACUGUGGUGAGGGUGAGCAGGCUGCAAGGUGGCAGGAUCAGGUACCAGGCAGCCAAGGGGAGGAACACCUUUCUGCUUGAAUUCUCCAUAGCAUGCUUAUGGCCAUAAUCAUCAAUCUCUGGGAACCCUGGUCUACCAGAUGGCUGUCUCUUAGCAGAUGUUGACUGAGCCACGAAAUGGUCAGUGGAUAAUAUUCUUUGGAGGUUUACCACAUACAUCAACUGAUGGCUUUAACCCUGAGUCUGGGAACGUGACAAGAGAUCUCCUUAGCAGUGACUCCCAAAUGUGAGUGUGCAGAAAAUGACC
rnacentral:lncRNA from 1 species